UGGGCCAGACGCAGAAUGUAGCAAAAACAGGUGGUUGUUCAAAUAUUUGUGUAAAACUAGGCUGAAGGACGUGCGCACACUUCUGUAGUCAUGGCCAAAAUCUAUAGAAUCGGUCACAACUGUGUCUAAUCACAAUCCGCUUACAUGAUCGUGACACUGAGAUUAAAAUCAACACCAGCUGCCGAGUUGUGGGUGGUGGCAAACACAUUCCUACAAACCGACAUCCUGAGUGUGGCAUUAUGGGAUUCACAUUCCUCACAUGGGCUAGGAUGCCCAUGAUGCCGCCCCCCACCACGAUGCCGCCCCGGGCAACCGCCCGUGUCGCCCUUAUCAAAAACCGCUACUGGGUGUGAAUGGUCGUCCCUCAGUGUUAGCCCUGUAGCAGGCUGGUGAUCUGAUAAGGAUAAGUGGAAGAGGAUGGAUGUUGGUUUGUUUUUUUUGAGCUGGCUGUGAACAUCCUUUUAGGUUGAAUUUUAACAUGUGGGGUUUUAUAACGAAAUUUUGCAAUUCACUUUUGAAAUCAGCCUCAAGUGGCCACGCUGGGAACUGCAGUUUUUGGCCUUUGCAUGUUGGCUUCAUUUUUCAGCCCUGCAGGUCGCUUCUUGGGUUACAGAAGACUGUUUCACUGGUUUGCAGAAACAUUUGAGACACUGUCUCUUAACCUGUUUUCUCUCCUUGGCUUUCCAGUCUUCUCUUCACUAUCAAUAAACAAUAAAAGCCCUCCCAAAAUACACUAAAAAAUUUACUGUUUUUCUGUUCUGAUUUUAUAUGUAGCAGCUAGUAGAUUUCAAAUUAUCUGGAAAACUGACACAUGCUGAUAAAUCAGCUAAUACUAAAACUCCCAUAAUUUUUCAAGGGAGCAGAUUCUGAUUGUGCUGUAUCACAGACUUCUUCUGCUCCCUUUAUUGUUCAUCACAGCAAAUCAAAUGCCUUUAUCUCAUCCUGGCCUUACCAUCCUCCUCUGUCACACCAACCCUCUGCAUGUCCUCCUUUGUUAUAUC
ensembl:lncRNA